rnacentral:rRNA from 1 species
GACGAACGCUGGCGGCGUGCUUAACACAUGCAAGUCGAACGGAAAGGCCCUGCUUUUGUGGGGUGCUCGAGUGGCGAACGGGUGAGUAACACGUGAGUAACCUGCCCUUGACUUUGGGAUAACUUCAGGAAACUGGGGCUAAUACCGGAUAUGAGCUCCUGCUGCAUGGUGGGGGUUGGAAAGUUUCGGCGGUUGGGGAUGGACUCGCGGCUUAUCAGCUUGUUGGUGGGGUAGUGGCUUACCAAGGCUUUGACGGGUAGCCGGCCUGAGAGGGUUACCGGCCACAUUGGGACUGAGAUACGGCCCAGACUCCUACGGGAGGCAGCAGUGGGGAAUAUUGCACAAUGGGCGGAAGCCUGAUGCAGCAACGCCGCGUGCGGGAUGACGGCCUUCGGGUUGUAAACCGCUUUCGCCUGUGACGAAGCGUGAGUGACGGUAAUGGGUAAAGAAGCACCGGCUAACUACGUG